UAGGGAAUCUUCGGCAAUGGGGGGAACCCUGACCGAGCAACGCCGCGUGAGUGAAGAAGGUUUUCGGAUCGUAAAGCUCUGUUGUUAAGGAAGAACGAGUGUGAGAAUGGAAAGUUCAUACUGUGACGGUACUUAACCAGAAAGGGACGGCUAACUACGUGCCAGCAGCCGCGGUAAUAUGUAGGUCCCGAGCGUUGUCCGGAUUUAUUGGGCGUAAAGCGAGCGCAGGCGGUUAGAUAAGUCUGAAGUGAAAGGCAGUGGCUCAACCAUUGUAUGCUUUGGAAACUGUUUAACUUGAGUGCAGAAGGGGAGAGUGGAAUUCCAUGUGUAGCGGUUAAAUGCGUAGAUAUAUGGAGGAACACCAGUGGCGAAGGCGACUCUCUGGUCUGUAACUGACGCUGAGGUUCGAAAGCGUGGGUAGCAAACAGG
rnacentral:rRNA from 1 species